rnacentral:rRNA from 1 species
UGUUUCGGCUAGGGGGCCAUCCCGGCUUACCAACCCGAUGCAAACUGCGAAUACCGGAGAAUGUUAUCACGGGAGACACACGGCGGGUGCUAACGUCCGUCGUGAAGAGGGAAACAACCCAGACCGCCAGCUAAGGUCCCAAAGUCAUGGUUAAGUGGGAAACGAUGUGGGAAGGCCCAGACAGCCAGGAUGUUGGCUUAGAAGCAGCCAUCAUUUAAAGAAAGCGUAAUAGCUCACUGGUCGAGUCGGCCUGCGCGGAAGAUGUAACGGGGCUAAACCAUGCACCGAAGCUGCGGCAGCGACGCUGAUGCGUUGUUGGGUAGGGGAGCGUUCUGUAAGCCUGUGAAGGUGGCCUGUGAGGGUUGCUGGAGGUAUCAGAAGUGCGAAUGCUGACAUAAGUAACGAUAAAGCGGGUGAAAAGCCCGCUCGCCGGAAGACCAAGGGUUCCUGUCCAACGUUAAUCGGGGCAGGGUGAGUCGACCCCUAAGGCGAGGCCGAAAGGCGUAGUCGAUGGGAAACGGGUUAAUAUUCCCGUACUUGGUGUUACUGCGAAGGGGGGACGGAGAAGGCUAUGUUGGCCGGGCGACGGUUGUCCCGGUUUAAGCGUGUAGGUGUGUGUUCCAGGUAAAUCCGGUUCACUUUAACACUGAGGCGUGAUGACGAGGCACUACGGUGCUGAAGCAACAAAUGCCCUGCUUCCAGGAAAAGCCUCUAAGCAUCAGGUAACAUCAAAUCGUACCCCAAACCGACACAGGUGGUCAGGUAGAGAAUACCAAGGCGCUUGAGAGAACUCGGGUGAAGGAACUAGGCAAAAUGGUGCCGUAACUUCGGGAGAAGGCACGCUGACACGUAGGUGAAGUGAUUUACUCACGGAGCUGAAGUCAGUCGAAGAUACCAGCUGGCUGCAACUGUUUAUUAAAAACACAGCACUGUGCAAACACGAAAGUGGACGUAUACGGUGUGACGCCUGCCCGGUGCCGGAAGGUUAAUUGAUGGGGUCAGCGCAAGCGAAGCUCCUGAUCGAAGCCCCGGUAAACGGCGGCCGUAACUAUAACGGUCCUAAGGUAGCGAAAUUCCUUGUCGGGUAAGUUCCGACCUGCACGAAUGGCGUAAUGAUGGCCAGGCUGUCUCCACCCGAGACUCAGUGAAAUUGAACUCGCUGUGAAGAUGCAGUGUACCCGCGGCAAGACGGAAAGACCCCGUGAACCUUUACUAUAGCUUGACACUGAACAUUGAGCCUUGAUGUGUAGGAUAGGUGGGAGGCUUUGAAGUGUGGACGCCAGUCUGCAUGGAGCCGGCCUUGAAAUACCACCCUUUAAUGUUUGAUGUUCUAACGUGGACCCGUGAUCCGGGUUGCGGACAGUGUCUGGUGGGUAGUUUGACUGGGGCGGUCUCCUCCUAAAGAGUAACGGAGGAGCACGAAGGUUGGCUAAUCCUGGUCGGACAUCAGGAGGUUAGUGCAAUGGCAUAAGCCAGCUUGACUGCGAGCGUGACGGCGCGAGCAGGUGCGAAAGCAGGUCAUAGUGAUCCGGUGGUUCUGAAUGGAAGGGCCAUCGCUCAACGGAUAAAAGGUACUCCGGGGAUAACAGGCUGAUACCGCCCAAGAGUUCAUAUCGACGGCGGUGUUUGGCACCUCGAUGUCGGCUCAUCACAUCCUGGGGCUGAAGUAGGUCCCAAGGGUAUGGCUGUUCGCCAUUUAAAGUGGUACGCGAGCUGGGUUUAGAACGUCGUGAGACAGUUCGGUCCCUAUCUGCCGUGGGCGCUGGAGAACUGAGGGGGGCUGCUCCUAGUACGAGAGGACCGGAGUGGACGCAUCACUGGUGUUCGGGUUGUCAUGCCAAUGGCACUGCCCGGUAGCUAAAUGCGGAAGAGAUAAGUGCUGAAAGCAUCUAAGCACGAAACUUGCCCCGA